GACUCCAAGGUUGGGUAGUUUAUGCUAUUUGCUUCACUUUCUGCAGGUAAACGCUAGCAUGUGGGGAGAAGGGUUUUGGGUGCUGAAGACAUUAAGACCUGGUGGCCGCCUACAGGAGGUGAAUGCAAUCCGGAGGCGUGGUGGAGCCCAGGUUUUUCUAGGGCAUGUAGGGCUUUGUUUGAUCAUACCAACAGUCAAAUAUGGUGGUGGUAGUGUGAUGUCUGGGGCUGCAUUGCUGCUUCAGGACCUGGACAACUUGCUGUGAUUGACGGAGCCAUGACUUCUGCUCUCUACCAAAAAAUCCUGAAGGAGAAUGUCCGGCCAUCAGUUUGUGACCUCAAGCUGGAGCGCACUAGGGUUCUGCAGCAGUACAAUGAUCCAAAACACACCAGCAAGUCCACCUCUGAAUGGCUUAAAAAAAAUGGUUUUGGAGUGGCCUAGUCAAAGUACGAGCUUGAAUCCGAUUGAGAUGCUGUGGCGUGACCUUAAAAAGGCGGUUCAUGCUCGAAAACCCUCCAAUGUGGCUGAAUUAAAACAAUUCUGCAAAGAAGUGUGGGCCAAAAUUCCUCCACAGCGAUGUGAAAGACUCAUUGCCAGUUAUCGCAAACGCUUGAUUGCAGUUGUUGCUGCUGAGGGUGGCACAACCAGUUAUUAGGUUUAGGGGACAAUUACUUUGUCACAUAGGGCCAUGAAGGUUCGGAUAGCUUUUUUCCCUUAAUAAA